rnacentral:lncRNA from 1 species
UGCGACUAAAGUUUAGAGGCUGUGAAUAGAAAAUGAACUAUCUCUUUUGGUGUCCUGGGUGACCAGAGCGAUGCAUGGGUUAUGGGGUAAAGAUCUGUCCACCUGCAGAGGUGCCAAGGGCAUGCCUUGCUCAGAAGGCAGAUUUUUUGGAAGCUGAGAGAAUGAGGAUGGCUUUUUGUACAAUGCAUGGUCCCUUCAGAUGGGUGGUUCUGCCUCAUGUUUUAAAUGCUGGGUAGGCUGGUUCUGCUGUUAGCACAAUGAUAGACAAACAGGGGGUGUGCCCCUGUGCUGCAUUAGGAUCUGUCUCAUCACUGCUUACUCCGCUGUAUAGACAAAGAUUCUUAAGUAAUACCCCAUGAAGGAACAAUGAAGCUCCAGGCAGACUGUCAGAAGAGCUUGAGAAGGCUGACAAAUACACAAAAUCUUUAUCAGCUUUUCCUUCCCUAGACCACUUGGGCUGGCUGGUGCAAUGAAUACAAACACCCACUUGGGCCAAAAAUCCUUCAAUGGAAGCGGAAAAGAAAAGGAGAGAGCGGUGUGUACUUUGGAAAGAAGAACAGAGAGAUGGGGAUAAAUAUAAUAAGUCAGACUUAAGGGUGUCAUUUUAAAAAAACACAUAUUUUGCUAAAGGCAGUCAUUUCUCCAUAAAUCCAAAUGCAGCAGCUGGAACAGCUCUGCAACAGAAAAGGAUGAGGUUUGGUGCUGCCUGUGACAGUCAGAAAUGUCAACUGAACUGGGCCAGAGGCGGUGGCUCAGGCCUGUAAUCCCACCACUUUGGGAGGCCAAGGCAGGUGGAUCGCGAGGUCAGGAGAUUGAGACCAUCCUGGCUAACACAGUGAAACCCCGUCUCUACUAAAAAUACAAAAACAAAACAAAACAAAACAAAACAAAAAACAAAAACUUACCCGGGCGUGGUAGCGGACACCUGUAGUUCCAGCUACUUGGGAGGCUGAGGCAGGAGAAUGGCAUGAACCCGGGAGGUGGAGCUUGCAGUGAGCUGAGAUCACACCACUCCAGCCUGGGCCACAGAGCAAAACUGUCUCAAAAAAAACAAAAAGAAAAAA